rnacentral:lncRNA from 1 species
CCCAUUUUCUUGGGAAGUUCUCGUGUUGCACCCUUUUUUUUUCAGAUGAUUCUUUCGACGUUACGCACGACUUGAAUUAUGAUCCGCAGGUUUAUUCGUAAAUGUGAGUCACGGCGCCGUGGCAUUUUACUUGAUAUUAGAACGAGAACGGGAGGUGCAGUGCCCAUGCACAAGUAAACAAAUGACGGGAGGGGGAAGAAAGGAGAAGGAGUGUAUGUAUUUACAG